rnacentral:lncRNA from 1 species
GUGCCUAAUAUCGCUUCUGUUCCAUUUCUAAUAUGAUGCACAACAAUGGCAAUAGAGUCGUAAAGGAGAUAAAAAGUUGUAAACCAAUAUUCUUGCUGCCAAACAUAUGUAGUCAUGAGACAAUAUUCUUCUAGGCAGAAAGGACAAAUCUUGUUAAUCCUUAAUCCAUGCUACGAAAUCAACGAAAUUCUCGUAUGAGCUCCCUCCUUCUCUAACACUAUUUUGAAUCUUUGUUUGAAGAUCCAAUAUCCUUUCUUUAAAUCUCCAUCGCUCAAAAGUUGUUCCAGUUUGUUCUUAAUUUCUU